rnacentral:rRNA from 2 species
AAAUUGAAGAGUUUGAUCAUGGCUCAGAUUGAACGCUGGCGGCAGGCCUAACACAUGCAAGUCGAACGGUAACAGGAAGCAGCUUGCUGCUUUGCUGACGAGUGGCGGACGGGUGAGUAAUGUCUGGGAAACUGCCUGAUGGAGGGGGAUAACUACUGGAAACGGUGGCUAAUACCGCAUAACGUCGCAAGACCAAAGAGGGGGACCUUCGGGCCUCUUGCCAUCAGAUGUGCCCAGAUGGGAUUAGCUUGUUGGUGAGGUAACGGCUCACCAAGGCGACGAUCCCUAGCUGGUCUGAGAGGAUGACCAGCCACACUGGAACUGAGACACGGUCCAGACUCCUA